GGCAGCCGCCGCGGGAACACCGGCGGCCCGAGUGGUGAUCGUGAUUAUUGGGUCUAAAGGGUCCGUAGCCGGUUUGGUCAGUCCUCCGGGAAAUCUGAUAGCUCAACUAUUAGGCUUUCGGGGGAUACUGCCAGACUUGGAACCGGGAGAGGUAAGAGGUACUACAGGGGUAGGAGUGAAAUCUUGUAAUCCCUGUGGGACCACCUGUGGCGAAGGCGUCUUACCAGAACAGGUUCGACGGUGAGGGACGAAAGCUGGGGGCACGAACCGGAUUAGAUACCCGGGUAGUCCCAGCCGUAAACGAUGCUCGCUAGGUGUCAGGCAUGGCGCGACCGUGUCUGGUGCCGCAGGGAAGCCGUGAAGCGAGCCACCUGGGAAGUACGGCCGCAAGGCUGAAACUUAAAGGAAUUGGCGGGGGAGCACAACAACGGGUGGAAGCCUGCGGUUUAAUUGGACUCAACGCCGGACAACUCACCGGGGGCGACAGCAAUAUGUAGGCCAAGCUGAAGACUUUGCCUGAAUCGCUGAGGGGUGGUGCAUGG
rnacentral:rRNA from 1 species